CAGUUAAAACAACAGCAAAAUAAUUAGCAAUUGAAUACCAAUCAACAAAUAGAUUGACUUUAGAGGUCUUCUUAGAAUCAAAACAUUGUAUAAAAUACAAGAUGAAACUAGAAAAACAAAAUAAAAUAUUAUGCAACGAACAAAAUAAUAAAAAGGCAAAAGUACACCAACCAUGCCAUAGCAAUUUGGUAGUGCUACAUUUCCAGACCUAUUUUGUACUGCUUCUUAUCCAGCCUGAUACGGCAUGCUACUACUAGUGGUUCAUUGUUAACUUUUUGUGCCAAAAAUUUAUUAAUAAAUGAUGUUCAUGACAAAUAAAAUCACACCACAUUGGAUAGGAAGGGUAGCAUUUUUCAGAAUUAAUGGAAAAAUGAAUAAAUCUAGCAUGUUUAGAUACAAUAAAAGG
rnacentral:misc_RNA from 1 species